GGGUUACGUGUGCUCACACAACAGCGGCGCACACAACUGAGCACAGGUGGCCCGUCCAGGGGACACCAAGUGCGGUGUGAUCUCAAUCAGGAGAGAUGCAUGGCAAAAGGCUGGCCCCACAAGGCAGGAAGCUAUAAAGACCGCUGUGGCAAGGGGACUCAUGCUGAAGCCCAAGCCUCCAGAGCCUCAGAGGCGAGUGUACUGGAGACAGGGCCUUCAAAGAGGGCGACAGAGUGAAAAUGAGGCCCAAGGGUGGUGUCCUUACAAGAGGACAUUUGGACACACGGAGGCACCAGGGACACUGGUGUGAAGCCAGGGUAAGGCAGCGUCUAUAAGCCAAGAAGAGGCCUCCUCAAUCCUGACCACAGCCUCCUGGACUGCGGGGAGACACAUUCCUGCCACAGAUAGCCUCCCAGCCUGUGGGGCUUGGUCUCAGCUAGGCCAGCAGGCUAUGACAGACUAGAGGGAAGAAGGGCGCAAACGGGGUGCCUCCCCACACGGGGGUCCAUCCCCCCAUCCUCACCACCCAGCUCCCUCCUCAAGGUGCGCCCCAUCCCACACAUCUAGCCUAGGCUUCUUAAACACGAACACUCCCCGGAUGAAAACCCUUCCGCUCCUUUCUGCAGGCUCUGCAAGGGGCAGCUGGGAACCCCGGGCCGUCACAGACCCUCAGGCCACACCCUGCCCAGCACCUGGCCUUCCCAUCCAGGCCACGCCACGUCCCUCCUUCCUCUCCUCAGCACAGGUGGAGGAGCCCCAGGCUGGCCCAAGAGAAAGGCCAUGGCAGGAAAACUGCACCAGAAGGAGCAACAGAGCC
rnacentral:lncRNA from 1 species